UAAGGAAUAUUGGUCAAUGGACGCAAGUCUGAACCAGCCAUGCCGCGUGAAGGAUGAAGGCCCUCUGGGUUGUAAACUUCUUUUAUCUGGGACGAAAAACGGGCUUUCUAGCUCACUUGACGGUACCAGAGGAAUAAGCACCGGCUAACUCCGUGCCAGCAGCCGCGGUAAUACGGAGGGUGCAAGCGUUAUCCGGAUUUACUGGGUUUAAAGGGUGCGUAGGUGGGUAGGUAAGUCAGUGGUGAAAUCUUCAAGCUUAACUUGGAAACUGCCAUUGAUACUAUCUAUCUUGAAUACUUUGGAGGUAAGCGGAAUAUGUCAUGUAGCGGUGAAAUGCUUAGAUAUGACAUAGAACACCAAUUGCGAAGGCAGCUUACUACACAGUUAUUGACACUGAGGCACGAAAGCGUGGGGAUCAAACAGG
rnacentral:rRNA from 1 species